rnacentral:guide_RNA from 1 species
AAAUAGAACCAAAGAUAUCGUAACUUAGUGUGAUAGGUAAUAAUU